AGGAAGAGAGUGUACGGGCCUAUGACCUAUGAAUUGACAGCCAGUGGAUGUACAGUCUGCCUGUCAAUUCUGUAGGCCACAGGUUCGUCCACCUUGUUGCUAUA
rnacentral:pre_miRNA from 12 species